rnacentral:rRNA from 1 species
GACGAACGCUGGCGGCGUGCUUAACACAUGCAAGUCGAACGGAAAGGCCCUGCUUUUGUGGGGUGCUCGAGUGGCGAACGGGUGAGUAACACGUGAGUAACCUGCCCUUGACUUUGGGAUAACUUCAGGAAACUGGGGCUAAUACCGGAUAGGAGCUCCUGCUGCAUGGUGGGGGUUGGAAAGUUUCGGCGGUUGGGGCUGGACUCGCGGCUUAUCAGCUUGUUGGUGGGGUAGUGGCUUACCAAGGCUUUGACGGGUAGCCGGCCUGAGGGGGUGACCGGCCACAUUGGGACUGAGAUACGGCCCAGACUCCUACGGGAGGCAGCAGUGGGGAAUAUUGCACAAUGGGCGGAAGCCUGAUGCAGCAACGCCGCGUGCGGGAUGACGGCCUUCGGGUUGUAAACCGCUUUCGCCUGUGACGAAGCGUGAGUGACGGUAAUGGGUAAAGAAGCACCGGCUAACUACGUG